rnacentral:rRNA from 1 species
GAUGAACGCUGGCGGCGUGCCUAAUACAUGCAAGUCGAGCGAACAGACGAGGAGCUUGCUCCUCUGACGUUAGCGGCGGACGGGUGAGUAACACGUGGAUAACCUACCUAUAAGACUGGGAUAACUUCUGGAAACCGGAGCUAAUACCGGAUAAUAUAUUUAACCGCAUGGUUCAAUAGUGAAAGACGGUUUUGCUGUCACUUAUAGAUGGAUCCGCGCCGCAUUAGCUAGUUGGUAAGGUAACGGCUUACCAAGGCGACGAUGCGUAGCCGACCUGAGAGGGUGAUCGGCCACACUGGAACUGAGACACGGUCCAGACUCCUACGGGAGGCAGCAGUAGGGAAUCUUCCGAAAUGGGCGAAAGCCUGACGGAGCAACGCCGCGUGAGUGAUGAAGGUCUUCGGAUCGUAAAACUCUGUUAUUAGGGAAGAACAAAUGUGUAAGUAACUAUGCACGUCUUGACGGUACCUAAUCAGAAAGCCACGGCUAACUACGUG